rnacentral:rRNA from 1 species
AGAGUUUGAUCCUGGCUCAGGAUGAACGCUGGCGGCGUGCCUAAUACAUGCAAGUCGAGCGAACAGAUAAGGAGCUUGCUCCUUUGAAGUUAGCGGCGGACGGGUGAGUAACACGUGGGUAACCUACCUAUAAGACUGGGAUAACUUCGGGAAACCGGAGCUAAUACCGGAUAACAUUUAGAACCGCAUGGUUCUAAAGUGAAAGAUGGUUUUGCUAUCACUUAUAGAUGGACCCGCGCCGUAUUAGCUAGUUGGUAAGGUAACGGCUUACCAAGGCGACGAUACGUAGCCGACCUGAGAGGGUGAUCGGCCACACUGGAACUGAGACACGGUCCAGACUCCUACGGGAGGCAGCAGUAGGGAAUCUUCCACAAUGGGCGAAAGCCUGACGGAGCAACGCCGCGUGAGUGAUGAAGGGUUUCGGCUCGUAAAACUCUGUUAUUAGGGAAGAACAAAUGUGUAAGUAACUGUGCACAUCUUGACGGUACCUAAUCAGAAAGCCACGGCUAACUACGUG